GGAACGUGUACCCGUUGCGGUGCAACGAUGGUAAAGGA
rnacentral:ncRNA from 1 species